rnacentral:rRNA from 1 species
UACGAGAGGCCCAAACGUUAUUCGGAAUUACUGGGCUUAAAGAGUUCGUAGGCGGCAUGAAAAGUAGGGUGUGAAAGCCCUCGGCUCAACCGAGGAAUUGCGCUCUAAACUGUCGUGCUCGAGGACCUAGAGGUGAGCAGAACAGAUGGUGGAGCGGUGAAAUGCGUUGAUAGUCAUCUGGAACACCAGUGGCGAAGGCGGCUCACUGGUCCGGUACUGCGCUGAGGUGCGAAAGCGUGGGAGCAAACAGG